rnacentral:rRNA from 1 species
GGAUGACCUCGGAUCAGGUAGGGAUACCCGCUGAACUUA